CACGCUUGCGUGUACUGACACCGAUGCCGUUGACACGUUGACGUAUUCCAUAGCGUCAGGAAACACUGGAACGACGUUCAGUAUUUCAGCGUCUGGUGUAAUCACACUAGCUUCCGCCCUUGACUAUGACGCGGGGACUCAGAACUUCGCGUUAAGCGUCCAAGUAACAGACGGAACCAACACGUUAACGAUCCCGGUCACUGUUGACGUCAAUCACGUGAACGAGGCUGCACCUUCUGUAACAGGAAGCACCGUUAGCAUUGACGAAACCACGGUCGUAGGAAGUGCUGUGACGACCGUCGUAGCUACGGAUGCUGACGGGGGAAUAGAUGGGGAUUUGACAUACACUAUCA